GUGAGUGAAGAAGGCCUUCGGGUUGUAAAGCUCUUUUGUCAGGGAAGAAACGGUGAGGGCUAAUAUCCCUCACUAAUGACGGUACCUGAAGAAUAAGCACCGGCUAACUACGUGCCAGCAGCCGCGGUAAUACGUAGGGUGCAAGCGUUAAUCGGAAUUACUGGGCGUAAAGCGUGCGCAGGCGGUUUUGUAAGUCUGACGUGAAAUCCCCGGGCUCAACCUGGGAAUUGCGUUGGAGACUGCAAGGCUAGAAUCUGGCAGAGGGGGGUAGAAUUCCACGUGUAGCAGUGAAAUGCGUAGAGAUGUGGAGGAACACCGAUGGCGAAGGCAGCCCCCUGGGUCAAGAUUGACGCUCAUGCACGAAAGCGUGGGGAGCAAACAGGAUUAGAUACCCUGGUAGUCCACGCCCUAAACGAUGUCUACUAGUUGUCGGGUUUUAAUUAACUUGGUAACGCAGCUAA
rnacentral:rRNA from 1 species